ensembl:misc_RNA 7SK 7SK RNA
GGAUGUGAGGGCGAUCUGGCUGUAACAUCUGUCACCCCACUGAUUGCCAGGGUUGAUUCGUCUGAUCUGGCUGGCUAGAUGGGUGUCCCCUUCCUCCCUCACCGAUCCAUCUGCGUCCCUCCUGAAGCUGCGCGCUUGGUCCAAGAGGACGGCCUUCCCCAAAUAGAGACAGACUGGUCUUCGGUUGAGGGUAUACAAGUAGCUGCGCUCCCCUAUUAGAACCUCCAAACAAGCUCUCAAGGAACUACACAGGUACAAAACUGUCGCAGUAAGAAAAAAUAAGGGAGUAUCCAGGAGGUAGCGCAGUCAGUAAAGCAGUAGCUGCAGCUAUGAAGUUUCAGAU